rnacentral:rRNA from 1 species
GAUGAACGCUAGCGACAGGCCUAACACAUGCAAGUCGAGGGGCAGCACAUGAGUAGCAAUACGAUGGUGGCGACCGGCGCACGGGUGAGUAACACGUAUGCAACCUGCCUUCUACUAUGGGAUAACCCGUUGAAAGACGGACUAAUACCGUAUAAUACAGGGGCUCCGCAUGGAGAUAUUUGUUAAAGAUUUAUUGGUAGAAGAUGGGCAUGCGUAUGAUUAGAUAGUUGGUGAGGUAACGGCUCACCAAGUCAACGAUCAUUAGGGGUUCUGAGAGGAAGGUCCCCCACACUGGUACUGAGACACGGACCAGACUCCUACGGGAGGCAGCAGUGAGGAAUAUUGGUCAAUGGACGAGAGUCUGAACCAGCCAAGUCGCGUGAAGGAAGACGGUUCUAUGAAUUGUAAACUUCUUUUGUGCAGGAAUAAAGUGGGUUACGUGUAGCCUUUUGUAUGUACUUUACGAAUAAGGAUCGGCUAACUCCGUG